CUGCAAUCCACCGACCGGCAACUCGUGAUGCACCGGCGGCCGCGGCGUCAUCAACCACACGCGCCGCGAGCUGCCCACGACCACGUCCACGCAGAGCUAUCAACUUAUCUGAUCAUAACGCAGAAAAUAAACGAAACCAAUUGCUACUCGAAUGUUCGACAAUUGAAGAAUUUCAUUCCAGAAAUCAGCAACCGUCAGAAGAAAGUAUCAAGUCCAAUAAACAAACUAAUUCGACAAACCAGCUAAUAAGGUAAGAGAUUUUGCUGUUGUUUAUGUAAACGUUUUUACAGUGAUACUAAAAUAUUACAAUAAUAAUAUUAAUAAUACAAUAUAAUACAAUAAUAUUGUGAUAUCAAGUUAAAUAAGUUUAAUUUAAGUUAAAAAAGGUAAUAUUGUAUAGGUUUAGUAAGAUUUCAAAGAUUAAAGUAUUCCCCUCGAACUUUUUGAAAAUAGUUUAAUAAAUAUCAGUUCAUCAUGGUGUCAAAAAAAAAAAACACGUCAGUGAACUAACUGUCAUCCACCCCCCUAAAGAUACUUCCCUUGUCAAAAUUCCUGUUAUCCAAAAUGAUACGCGACUAGAGGAUGCAUUGCUGCAAUAGCUGUCGGACCUAAUAUAAAUGGUAAUUUUGUGCCUGCCAUGUUUUGGUGUGUCAUACACUUAAUAAAAUACCUUGAGCGACACGAUGAUACUUUUAUAUCGUAAAAGUAUAGUAAUAUUAUGUAUUUUUACAAUUUUAUAUAAAUAUUUGCGUGUGUGUGUACAAAAUCAUAAAAAGGAUUUAACGUAUUGAAUUCUUCGUCAAAACUGCCUAUUCUUGUCCAUCUCGCUUCGCCCACGUCUACUUUACCCUGGUCUCUAGAUCAACAUUAAUAAAAUACGUCUCGUCCUGACAACGGCUUUAUAAGGGAUAAUGUUAUUAAGGUUAUUGCUUUAUUCAGAAAAUCUCUAGAGACUACUCAGCUACAUUGCUGGUAAUGUAAUUUAUGUACUGGAUCUCGUCAGGUCUACAUACUAUAUCCGUUGGGAUAUUUAAGUUUUAUGUUGUUUCGAGUGUAUUAUAUUAUAAUAUAAUGUAUUAUAAUUUUAUCAAAUAAUUGCAAAUUAAACAUUUGGCGCUAUAAAAAAAAAAAAAAAAACGCUGAAAGGUACCUCGAGUCAUGUACAGACUUUAUGUCUAUGCUAUAAUAUAAUCCAUUUCUUUAAAAAAAAUAUAUUAUUUAUUAUAAUACGACAUUGAACAAAAACGUGUAUACACCUUAUAGUCAAGUCACCAAAUAGAAAACAUGUAUUAAUAAAAUUCAAUUCGAUUUUUUUCAUUUUUCAACAAGUUCGCUGUUGACACAAAUAAUAAUAAUUUCAUUAUGCGAAGGUGUUGAUAUUAAAAGCAGAAGAAAACUGCAUUUUCGUUCGAUUACGAUUCGUGGAGUGAUUUUGUUUUCACUUUAUUUCCCGAUGUGUUAUCGUCCCGUCGUUUCUUUUUAUCCGUCAAUUUUGUUAACCUGCCAACGUAAUUGAGUUUCGCACAUUUUCUCGUCCCACCGAUAGCGUAUUCGAUUCGGCGAAGUCCAUGCCGUGUGCGUGCACGGUGAGUUCCUACGACAUCGAGUUUAAUUGAUAAUCGAAAAGUUUGCGAAAAUGGAAAAAAAAAACACCAGAUCUGUCAAACAGCCGAUAGUCGUAUAAGUUCGAUGCAAAAGUUUCCAUCGCGAGAGGUAAGAUUAACCGUCGCGUUUCGGACCCCUGUCGGUGCGCAUAUAUAUAUUAUUAUGUGGAAGGUAUAAAGCGCGUGGGGUUACUGCGGUUAUCGGAUUUCAUUAGGGUUCGUUUACCCCUUUAAUAAUAUAAUAAUAUAUACAAUCUCACCGUAGUUGUUGUAACCCCGUCACGUCUUUAUUUUUCUAGCUCAAUUUUCACGCGCACGGAGCACGGUGGUGGCGUAUUUUUUACACGUUUCAUUUCGCGAUGACACGUUGACGUCCGGAAAAACCGAAAACGGAUUAAACGAACGGAAUUAUUCCAAACGGUUUAGGAGCGUCCGAAAAUGCACGUAAAGCUGACAGCCAGACCCUUUGGCCCCGACGCGUCUUUUUUUUUUUAUUCGGUUUAAUUACGAAUUUUUUUUUUUUCACAAAGUUGUAUUAUAAAUAAAAAUGCGCAUAAAAUAAUAGUAAUAAUAUUACGCCGACCCUCUAUGGUAUAAAAAACAUAUAAUAUAACGUACGACGGCGCGGCGGUGUAAAAAAAAAAAAAAACAGAAAAUAGAAAAAGAAACGCAUAUUUAUACCGUAUCAGGUCGCCGGGCGUGUGUUGGUGACACUUCAAUUUUUACGCUGUAAAUUGGACGACGGAGUUUGCUGCAUUCUGUUUAGCCCGGGAAAAAGUUAACGCGGGUGUGUUCAAUCAGAAAACGGAAGGACGAGACGUCGGGACACGCACAGACCGACAAAUAAUACAAUAUUAUAAGUCGCCUAUGCGUGUAAUAUACGGUAUAUUGUGUGCGGGCGACGUUUUUCUUCUAAACCGGUCAAAGUCGGGUUAGGUACAGUUUUGUGUGUGUGUGUGUGUGUGUUUUAUAUAAAGCAAAAGGAUCGUCGUGCGAUGUCCGAUGUGUACGUGCAAUACAUAUCCGGAACGGUGUUGAAACGUGUAAUGGCAUUGUAUGCCGAUGGCAUUUUCAACACAUUGAUCUUAUACAUUAUUCGGUUAAAAUACACCGUCGUCUCUAAAAUACACGCAAUAUUAACAAUCAUGUGAUAAUAAUAUCGGCAUUGUCUUGUAGGGACUUGAAAUAAUUAUUAUUAAUAAAAUAGGUAAUAAAUGUAAUAUUCGGAAUAUUAUUACACGUUUUUGUUUGUACCAUCCGAAAGUAUAGAGCAUAUAUUUAUAGGUGUCGUUAAUAUGUCGUGCUCAUGGUAAUACAAUCAUCCACCACGAAUGCGUAUUUUGAACGCUGUAAAUGGGACGCCGGAGUUCGCUGCGUUGUGCGCUGAGUUUUCGCCCGGGAAAAAGUUAACGCGGGUGUUUUCGAUCAGAAAACGGAAGGUCGAGACAGGGCGCAGACCAACAAAUAAUACAAUAUAAUAAUAAUAAUAUGUCGUCUAUGCGUGUAAUACGGUAGUAUUGUGUGCGGGCGACGUUUUUUUCCGAAGCUGGUCAAAGUCGGGUUAGGUAUAGUUUCGUAUUUUUGUAUGUGUAUGUGGGUGUGCGUGUCGGUGUGUAUAUUGUGUUGUAUAAAGCAAAAGGAUCGUAGUGCGAUGCCCGAUGCGUACGUGCAGUACAUAUCCGGAACGGUGUUGAAACGUGUAGGUAAUAUUAUUAUAUAUUGUAAGGGUGCCGAUUGCAUUUUCAACACAACAAGAUGAUCAUCUCACAUUUUUCGGUUAAAAUAAACCGUCGUCUCUAGAAAAAUACGUAACAUUAAUAAUUAUAUGAUAAUAUUAGCACCGUUUUGUAUAGUGUACCAUCCAAAUAUAGAUAUAUUUAGGUGUAGGUUUACACUGUAGCUGUUAUGCUGUGCUUAUUUUAUAACAAUAUCGUCUAUCACGCAUUGAAAAAAAAAUUGAUGCAAAAAGCGUAUACUAGGACGUCCUAGCUGGUACUACCCCACCGGGAUUAUAAUAUUUUCAAUAUAUUUCAUACAAAAUGUAAUCAAUUUAGAUGCGAAAUAAUUCACGUACCUUUAUACAAUGAUAAUAAUCUUAUCUGGUUUUUAACCGUUCAAUAAUCAACAUCAUUGCUCUGUAAACAGUUCCCGUUGAAAAAAUAUUAUAUUGCAUUUCACUAUUACGUUUAUCGCACAAAACUUAAUUUUCGUUUAAAUAAAAUGUACACUCGAUAGUUGUAUAUUGGGUCGAAAAACCUAUUUACGUAAUAUAGCUACGCGAAGGAAUCCAUUUACAGCCAAUUUUAAAAUGUACGCCAUUCAGCUGUUUAUGGGGAGCUGACAAGAACAAUGUUCAAUUCACAUAAUCACUUGAAACAUAUAAUCACUUUGUCUGGCGAGCAAUAAUGAUAGCAACUAAUGGUCUCGCACGCCGCAACUUUACAAUGAAAAUAUCCAUCUAUAUAUAAAUGGAGGCAGCUAAAUACGCAGUAGACAUUAAUGUCAGCAUGUUCAAUAUUUUCCGUUGGAAGUACUCAAGUCGUGGGAAAGUUCUGAAAUUAAAAUUUGUUUCCGAGCAAAAGGAUCACAUACUUUUGCGAAAAUAACGUUGUAAA